rnacentral:rRNA from 1 species
UACGGGGGGAGCAAGCGUUGUUCGGAUUCACUGGGCGUAAAGCGUGCGCAGGCGGCGCGUUAAGACAGGUGUGAAAGCCCCGAGCUUAACUUGGGAAUUGCGCUUGUGACUGGCGUGCUGGAGUGUGGCAGAGGGAGGUGGAAUUCCACGUGUAGCAGUGAAAUGCGCAGAUAUCAGGAGGAACACCGGUGGCGAAGGCGGGUCUCUGGGCCGAUACUGACGCUGAGGAGCGAAAGCGUGGGGAGCGAACAGG